GCCUGAGUGGCUUAGUUGGUUAAGCGUCUGACUUCGGCUCAGGUCAUGAUCUCACAGUUCGUGGGUUCAAGCCCCCACAUUGAGCU
rfam:Felis catus isolate Cinnamon breed Abyssinian chromosome A1, whole genome shotgun sequence.